AGGUGCUCCUAUUCUGCAUGUAGAAGAUUUGAAGUUCUGGAAGACCAUCGGGACAGAAGCGCUCUGUGUACCUGUAGACAUUGGCCAGGUUUCAUUUGGGAAGCUACUCACUAUUUCCAGAAAGAAGGCUGCACACAGUGUGCCCAAAGGGAUCUAGGAGACUGUCCAUGCCUGACAGUGUGCCUGCCGGGAAGGAACAAUGAAAGGCAACCGGAAAGGGAGAAACGAGGCAAGUUCCGUCUGGGUUGUAGAACCUUCAGUAGAGGGUGAUCCGAAAUGUUUCCUUAUUGUCAUCGAACUGUUGUGUUUGUGUGAUUUUUUUUUUUAAAAAUCAAAAUAAAAAUGGAACAACAAAAAUAA